CAAGCUUUGUUACGGCAACAGGACUUUUAUUAUUUAAUUUGCGAGAGGAGUUCCGGUACAACAGCAGAGCUAGUAAUAUUGCAGUUACGGGAUUAGUCUCACAAAUACCACGAGACUAGUCUAUUAGUGUUUACAUUUCUGCUGUAUCUGUAGCGAAAAAAAAGAUUAUGGGGCCAGAAUGAGGAUUUUGGCUCAUUUUAGCCCAUUUUCGAGACCAUAAGCUCUGCUGCUGAGACUUCACGGCUUUUCUUAAUUGCCAGUGUGAUUUAAUACAAAUUUUUCAACUGUCCGAGACGUUUCUCGAUGAAAUUGGAAAUCGACGCGAUGCGACAACGAUAUACCGACAUCUCGAAGGUUAAUUUAGAAAGGUAUUUCAGGUGAAAAGUUCACUGUCGCGUGAUUAGAAGCUUCAAGGAGUGUCAUAUUGAUAGCCACUGUGGGUCGAAUAAUAUCAUGGGAGCGCCAUUUCGAAAUACGAGAGGUGCAUGUAUAAUUAAACUCGCCUACUUGGCAUGAUGCAUCGACAGGUACAAGUAUCUGAAGAAAAAAAUUAUAAACAGGAUGCACAUAUCCACCCGUUUUUAGUGUUACAUACUUUUCUCUUCUCCUACUUUUUUAUUUAUUCCUACCUACGUUUUUGAAUGAGCCAUCAAUAUCUUAAUCUAUGAAAAAAUAAAUUUUUGUAUAUGA